rnacentral:rRNA from 1 species
UGGGGAAUAUUGCACAAUGGGCGAAAGCCUGAUGCAGCAACGCCGCGUGAGUGAUGAAGGCCUUCGGGUUGUAAAGCUCUGUCUUUUGGGACGAUAAUGACGGUACCAAAGGAGGAAGCCACGGCUAACUACGUGCCAGCAGCCGCGGUAAUACGUAGGUGGCAAGCGUUGUCCGGAUUUACUGGGCGUAAAGGAUGCGUAGGCGGAUUUUUAAGUGAGAUGUGAAAACCCUAAGCUUAACUUGGGGACUGCAUUUCAUACUGGAAAUCUAGAGUGCGGGAGAGGAGAAUGGAAUUCCUAGUGUAGCGGUGAAAUGCGUAGAGAUUAGGAAGAACACCAGUGGCGAAGGCGAUUCUCUGGACCGUAACUGACGCUGAGGCAUGAAAGCGUGGGUAGCAAACAGGAUUAGAUACCCUGGUAGUCCACGCCGUAAACGAUGAGUACUAGGUGUAGGAGGUAUCGACCCCUUCUGUGCCGCAGUUAACACAAUAAGUACUCCGCCUGGGAAGUACGAUCGCAAGAUUAAAAACUU